AACCGUGUGCCUACAAGUAGUUAGAGCCCGUUAAUGGGUGAUAGCGUGCCUUUUGUAGAAUGAACCGGCGAGUUACGAUUACGUGCGAGGUUAAGUUGAGAAGACGGAGCCGCAGCGAAAGCGAGUCUGAAUAGGGCGAAUUAGUACGUGGUCGUAGACCCGAAACCAGGUGAUCUACCCAUGUCCAGGGUGAGGGUGAGGUAACACUUACUGGAGGCCCGAACCCACGUACGUUGAAAAGUGCGGGGAUGAGGUGUGGGUAGCGGAGAAAUUCCAAUCGAACCUGGAAAUAGCUGGUUCUCUCCGAAAUAGCUUUAGGGCUAGCC
rnacentral:rRNA from 1 species